rnacentral:ncRNA from 2 species
UACGAAGGGGGCAAGCGUUGUUCGGAAUUACUGGGCGUAAAGGGCGUGUAGGCGGAUCGACCAGUCAGGGGUGAAAUCCCGGGGCUCAACCUCGGAACUGCCUUUGAUACUGUCGAUCUAGAGUCUGUGAGAGGGUGGCGGAAUACCCAGUGUAGAGGUGAAAUUCGUAGAUAUUGGGUAGAACACCAGUGGCGAAGGCGGCCACCUGGCACAGUACUGACGCUGAGGCGCGAAAGCGUGGGGAGCAAACAGG